rnacentral:rRNA from 1 species
ACGCACGCUGGCGGCGUGCUUCACCCCUGCCAGUCGCACGGAAAGGCCCUGCUUGCAGGGUCCUCGAGUGGCGAACGGGUGAGUAACACGUGGGUGAUCUGCCCUGCACUUCGGGAUAAGCCUGGGAAACUGGGUCUAAUACCGGAUAGGAGCCAUUUUUAGUGUGAUGGUUGGAAAGUUUUUUCGGUGUAGGAUGAGCUCGCGGCCUAUCAGCUUGUUGGUGGGGUAAUGGCCUACCAAGGCGGCGACGGGUAGCCGGCCUGAGAGGGUGGACGGCCACAUUGGGACUGAGAUACGGCCCAGACUCCUACGGGAGGCAGCAGUGGGGAAUAUUGCACAAUGGGCGCAAGCCUGAUGCAGCGACGCCGCGUGGGGGAUGACGGCCUUCGGGUUGUAAACUCCUUUCGCUAGGGACGAAGCUUUUUGUGACGGUACCUAGAUAAGAAGCACCGGCUAACUACGUG